rnacentral:sRNA from 1 species
UCCGCCUGGCUGCACUGCGUGUGUGUGGUGGGCUUCGACCUGGAGCUGGGCCAGGCCGUGGAGGUAAUUUAUCCUCAGCAUUCCAAACUUACUGACAGAGAAAAAACCAAUAUUUGCUAUUUGUCUUUUCCAGAUUCAAAUUCAGGUUGUCUUGGAGAUACCCAGUUUUGUUUUAGAUUUCGACAGUCUUCUGGGAGGAGGGUGUCGCUGCAUUGUCUCCUGGAUCAAUUUGACAAAGAUUUACCAGUUUACUUAAAGGUUGGAAAAGUAGUCAUGGGAAAAUGUCCAUGUGAGAGGAAACUUUAGAACUCAUUUAUUCAGUUACCGCUGACACCAUUCAGAAAUAUUUUGCUUUUGUUUUGCUACUAUAUUAUAUAGCUGAAUUUCCAAAGUGAGUCUUAUUCAUAAGGAUUCAGCAUC